rnacentral:rRNA from 1 species
GAACGGUAGCACAGAGAGCUUGCUCUCGGGUGACGAGUGGCGGACGGGUGAGUAUUGUCUGGGAAACUGCCUGAUGGAGGGGGAUAACUACUGGAAACGGUAGCUAAUACCGCAUAACGUCGCAAGACCAAAGAGGGGGACCUUCGGGCCUCUUGCCAUCAGAUGUGCCCAGAUGGGAUUAGCUAGUAGGUGGGGUAACGGCUCACCUAGGCGACGAUCCCUAGCUGGUCUGAGAGGAUGACCAGCCACACUGGAACUGAGACACGGUCCAGACUCCUACGGGAGGCAGCAGUGGGGAAUAUUGCACAAUGGGCGCAAGCCUGAUGCAGCCAUGCCGCGUGUAUGAAGAAGGCCUUCGGGUUGUAAAGUACUUUCAGCGGGGAGGAAGGUGUUGUGGUUAAUAACCACAGCAAUUGACGUUACCCGCAGAAGAAGCACCGGCUAACUCCGUGCCAGCAGCCGCGGUAAUACGGAGGGUGCAAGCGUUAAUCGGAAUUACUGGGCGUAAAGCGCACGCAGGCGGUCUGUCAAGUCGGAUGUGAAAUCCCCGGGCUCAACCUGGGAACUGCAUUCGAAACUGGCAGGCUGGAGUCUUGUAGAGGGGGGUAGAAUUCCAGGUGUAGCGGUGAAAUGCGUAGAGAUCUGGAGGAAUACCGGUGGCGAAGGCGGCCCCCUGGACAAAGACUGACGCUCAGGUGCGAAAGCGUGGGGAGCAAACAGGAUUAGAUACCCUGGUAGUCCACGCCGUAAACGAUGUCGAUUUGGAGGUUGUGCCCUUGAGGCGUGGCUUCCGGAGCUAACGCGUUAAAUCGACCGCCUGGGGAGUACGGCCGCAAGGUUAAAACUCAAAUGAAUUGACGGGGGCCCGCACAAGCGGUGGAGCAUGUGGUUUAAUUCGAUGCAACGCGAAGAACCUUACCUGGUCUUGACAUCCACAGAACUUUCCAGAGAUGGAUUGGUGCCUUCGGGAACUGUGAGACAGGUGCUGCAUGGCUGUCGUCAGCUCGUGUUGUGAAAUGUUGGGUUAAG